UCAGGUUGGGAUUUUGGGAAAUUAGGGUAGAGAGGGUUUCUCCUCUUCAUUGGGCUGUCAGGAGCCUUUGGUGAUGGGAGACGCCGCUGGAUGAAGGGUUCUUCACUGGCGGAGGAGCAACAUGAUCUGGAUGAUGGUCACAGGGAAAUGAGCGGAGCCACUCUCGGAGGCGGUUGUGGGUGCGUGAAUUCGGGUCACCCCGAGUGCAAUGAGGUGCACCACACCUGGACUUGACUUGGCAACGGCGACGACGCUGCUCAUGGCUUCGUCGGCGAGAGGAGCGCGUCUCUGCUUGGACGCGGUUUGGCCAUGGAGGUGGAGCUUCCGUAGUCCCAACGGCGAGGUGAGGAGGAUGACUACUUGAACUACCACUUCUUCUUCUUCUCUGAUUACCACGCCGGCAUGAUUUCCGGCAUCACACCUUGAUUUCACGGUGGUUAGGGGCGCUGGAACAGGUUGACUCUUCUCUUUAUUUUUGCUUACGGGUUACUAAAUGGGAUAUUGACUCUUUGGUGAGGAUUCUAGUUGAUGAGUUACAUGGAUGAAUGUAUUACUUAUUUAAAUUAUUGGUUAAAUUUCUAUAUUAUCUUUGCUUAAUUACUGGAAUAAAUGUGAUUUGGUUUUAUGUGUUAGAAUGGUAUUUUCCAAUUCACUGUGGUAUUGUGUAUUGCUCUUUCUUUAACCAUUAGAAUUUUUCAUGACUAUGUCCCAUAAUGAAUACUUUGAGUAGUAGCUUUUUUUUAUUGAAAAGAAUUUGUACAAGUAUGCGUGAUCUUAAUAAACAAUGAUUAAAGAUAUAUAUAGUCUGAAAUUGUUUAUGAUUAUACGAAAGUGCAAAUACUAGUCAUGAUAUGAUCAUCUCUAAAGCAUGUGGUUUUUACAUUGAAUAUCUUAACAGUGAUAUAGAUGGUGUUAUUUGAGAAUGCUUGUGAAUACAAAUGAAAGAUAAUACCAACCUGGUUUUGCUUGUUAUCAAUCCACUCUAUCACCACUUCUCUUGGACUUUUCUGAAUUGUUUGGCUAUCGAUAUCUCUUUCUUCUUUUGAUUCCAAUAUUUUUGAUUUCUUUACACGUAUAACUAUAUGCUCUCUGAUUUCUCUUAUGGUGGUAUAUCUGUGUGCCCGCUCUCUGAUUUCUCUUAUGGUGGUAUAUCUGUGUGCCCCCUCCUCUGGUUUUGUUAUCUGCCUUUUAUAGCUGAUUAGUUGGAUCUCUUGGGUUGCCAAGAAAUAUAAUGUGCACUGAUUUUUUAUCUCCUUCUGAUUGCUCCAUUUAAGGCUGGUUAUGAAUUUUGCCUUUGUGUAACUGAGAUUUCUCUUCUGUUUGGUUCUUUGAACCUCUCCUCAUGGCUGAUUCUAUUUUAUCUCAUUGUGACUUCUAGCUAAUUGAUAUUCCACUUUUUUGUAACAUUCCAUUAAUGCCUCAUAUUGUAAUUGCUUGUAAGGGAGAGUAGCUGGAACAUAUGUUGCUCUAAUACACCAUUAGUUUUUCUAUUCAGGUGGCCUUGGAUUUGGAUGUUGGCUUAAGUGUUAAUAAGUUAAUGCAACAACCUCUGUAGCUUCUUUCAAAGGAAACUGCCCUUCCAAUUUUGGGUCUAUUAUAUGCUGCAACUUUCCUUGUCCUCUCGAUACAUUUACUCGUGCUGUAGAGUUUUAAUACAUGUACUUAAUAUACGUGAUUUCUAUAGCUCAUGCAUGUAUAUAUUUAAUCCUGGUAUUUACACAUACAUACAUUUUCUUUUUAACAUGGCACAUGUCCCAGUAACGUGACUUAUAGGUGAGUGAAACUUUCCAAGGAUAGUCAUAUUCUCUUUGUCUUUCAUAACUGUUAUCACUAACAAUUUCUUACAUAAUGAAACAAUUAAGAACCAUAAAGAAAGGUGAGUAGUGUGUCUCAGAGAAUCACUAACGGUUUAAUAUAUGUUAAUUUCUUUUUUAAGUUCUCUUGUUGCUUUGAAGUUUUAAACUUUGUAGUAUUUGAUAAGAGGUCGGAC
rnacentral:lncRNA from 1 species